AGGUUGCUAUUUGAAGUGGUGUGAGAGAUCCUCAUUGGAAACCAUUGUGGUUCUUCAAAUAGAAAAAUCAAAAGGCUGAAAGGGACAGAUGACUGGCGCACAUCCUACCAACCUGAGUAAACAAGGACUAAAAGAAAAAGGAACUAUGGAUUGUCCUAUCAUUCCCCUUCCUUCUAUGUCAUCAUUUUCAGUAUAAAAGUCUUUCAUCCAGUGUCUUACCUCUAUGAAACCAUGAUGGAAAAUAAACUCGUUCCCUUCCAGAGGGAUUGGAAG